rfam:Streptomyces sp. NRRL F-6602 F6602contig1708.1, whole genome shotgun sequence.
CAGCGCACUCCGGGGUCGGUGUAAUUCCGAACCGGCGGUAACAGUCCGCGACCCGUCCGCAUCCAGUGGGCGGUUGACCAGGUGGAAUUCCUGGACCGACGGUGAAAGUCCGGAUGGGAGGCAGUGCGCGG